AUUGAACGCUGGCGGCAUGCUUUACACAUGCAAGUCGAACGGUAACAGGCCGCAAGGUGCUGACGAGUGGCGAACGGGUGAGUAAUGCAUCGGAACGUGCCCAGUCGUGGGGGAUAACUGCUCGAAAGAGCAGCUAAUACCGCAUACGAUCUAUGGAUGAAAGCGGGGGACCGUAAGGCCUCGCGCGAUUGGAGCGGCCGAUGUCAGAUUAGGUAGUUGGUGGGGUAAAGGCUCACCAAGCCAACGAUCUGUAGCUGGUCUGAGAGGACGACCAGCCACACUGGGACUGAGACAAGGCCCAGACUCCUACGGGAGGCAGCAGUGGGGAAUUUUGGACAAUGGGGGCAACCCUGAUCCAGCAAUGACGCGUGCAGGAAGAAGGCCUUCGGGUUGUAAACUGCUUUUGUACGGAACGAAACGGUCUGGGUUAAUACCCUGGGCUAAUGACGGUACCGUAAGAAUAAGCACCGGCUAACUACGUGCCAGCCGCCGCGGUAAUAC
rnacentral:rRNA from 1 species